rnacentral:tRNA from 1 species
GGGAAUGUAGCUCAGUAGCGGAGUGCUUGCCUAGCAUGCAUGAAGCCCUGGGUUCAAUCCUCAGUAUCACUA